rnacentral:sRNA from 1 species
GGUAAUUCACUGGUCCACAAGCGGUCUCCUUUACGUCGAAACCAAAAGACCCCAACAUCCUUGACCAAGCUGUCUUUACAGGAUGGACAUAAAGCCAAAAAGCCAGCAUGUAAAUUUGAAGAGGGUCAGGAUGUCCUAGCUAGAUGGUCAGAUGGCUUGUUUUAUCUUGGCACUAUCAAAAAGAUAAACAUAUUGAAACAGAGCUGCUUCAUCAUAUUUGAAGACAGUUCUAAAUCCUGGGUUCUCUGGAAGGACAUUCAAACAGGCAGGAGCCACUGGAAGUGGGGAAAUGGUCUGUACAAUAUGUCAAGAAGAGUAUUCAGAAGCUCCCAAUGAAAUGGUUAUAUGUGACAAGUGUGGCCAAGGAUAUCAUCAGUUGUGUCACACACCUCAUAUUGAUUCCAGUGUGAUUGAUUCAGAUGAAAAAUGGCUCUGUCGGCAGUGUGUUUUUGCAACAACAACAAAGAGGGGUGGUGCACUUAAGAAAGGACCAAAUGCCAAAGCAUUGCAAGUCAUGAAGCAGACAUUACCCUAUAGUGUGGCAGACCUUGAAUGGGAUGCAGGUCAUAAAACCAAUGUCCAGCAGUGUUACUGCUAUUGUGGAGGCCCUGGAGACUGGUAUUUGAAGAUGCUACAGUGCUGCAAAUGUAAGCAGUGGUUUCAUGAGGCUUGUGUGCAAUGCCUUCAAAAGCCAAUGCUAUUUGGAGACAGAUUUUAUACGUUUAUAUGCUCUGUCUGCAGUUCUGGACCAGAAUACCUCAAACGUCUACCAUUACAGUGGGUAGAUAUAGCACACCUAUGCCUUUACAACCUAAGUGUUAUUCAUAAGAAGAAAUACUUUGAUUCUGAACUUGAGCUUAUGACAUACAUUAAUGAAAACUGGGAUAGAUUGCACCCUGGAGAGCUGGCAGACACACCAAAAUCUGAAAGAUAUGAGCAUGUUCUGGAGGCAUUAAAUGAUUACAAGACCAUGUUUAUGUCUGGGAAAGAAAUAAAGAAGAAGAAGCAUUUGUUUGGGUUGCGAAUUCGUGUUCCUCCUGUGCCACCAAAUGUGGCUUUCAAAGCAGAGAAAGAACCUGAAGGAACAUCUCAUGAAUUUAAAAUUAAAGGCAGAAAGGCAUCCAAACCUAUAUCUGAUUCAAGGGAAGUAAGCAAUGGCAUAGAAAAAAAAGGAAAGAAAAAAUCUGUAGGUCGUCCACCUGGCCCAUAUACAAGAAAAAUGAUUCAAAAAACUGCUGAGCCACUUUUGGAUAAGGAAUCAAUUUCAGAGAAUCCUACUUUGGAUUUACCUUGUUCUAUAGGGAGAACUGAGGGAACUGCACAUUCAUCCAAUACCUCAGAUGUGGAUUUCACGGGUGCUUCCAGUGCAAAAGAAACUACCUCGUCUAGCAUUUCCAGGCAUUAUGGAUUAUCUGACUCCAGAAAAAGAACGCGUACAGGAAGAUCUUGGCCUGCUGCAAUACCACAUUUGCGGAGAAGAAGAGGUCGUCUUCCAAGAAGAGCACUCCAGACUCAGAACUCAGAAAUUGUAAAAGAUGAUGAAGGCAAAGAAGAUUAUCAGUUUGAUGAACUCAACACAGAGAUUCUGAAUAACUUAGCAGAUCAGGAGUUACAACUCAAUCAUCUAAAGAACUCCAUUACCAGUUAUUUUGGUGCUGCAGGUAGAAUAGCAUGUGGCGAAAAAUACCGAGUUUUGGCACGUCGGGUGACACUUGAUGGAAAGGUGCAGUAUCUUGUGGAAUGGGAAGGAGCAACUGCAUCCUGACUGUAGGACUGAACAUUAUGUUCACUGCACUCUGAUUUUCUGUAGGUACAGUUCAAAGCCCUAAAGGAGUCUGGCUUUUACUAUCUUUCUUAAAAAAAAAAAAAAA